rnacentral:sRNA from 1 species
GCCAGGUGUGGUGGUGCACGCCUGUGAUCCCAACGGCUCAGGAGGCUGAGACAGGAGGAUCCUGUGUUCAAAGCCAGCCUCAGCAACUUAGCGAGGCACUAAGCAACUCAGUGAGACCCUGUCUCUA